rnacentral:rRNA from 1 species
GACGAACGCUGGCGGCGUGCCUAAUACAUGCAAGUAGGACGCAGUUGCGAACGGGGGAGUAACGCGUAGGUAACUGCCUAUUAGAGGGGGAUAACUAUUGGAAACGAUAGCUAAUACCGCAUACUAGUAGAUGGACCUUCGUUGUAUUAGCUAGUAGGUAGGGUAAUGGCCUACCUAAGCGACGAUACCUAUCCGACCUGAGAGGUGGAUCGGACAACCUGGGACUGAGACAAGGCCCAGACUCCUACGGAGGGCAUCAGUAGGGAAUGGUCGGCAAUGGACGAAAGGCUGACCGAGCAACGCCGCGUGAGUGAAGAAGGUUUUCGGAUCGUAAAACUCUGUUGUUAGGGAAACGGUAUCUAACCAGAAAGCCACGGCUAACUACGGGCCAGCAGCCGCGGUAAUAC